rnacentral:rRNA from 1 species
UACAGAGACUGCAAGCGUUAUUCGGAUUCACUGGGCGUAAAGGGAGCGCAGGCGGCCAAGUGUGUGAGGCGUGAAAGCCCGGGGCUUAACUCCGGAAUUGCACCUCAAACUACAUGGCUAGAGCAUUGGAGAGGGUAGCAGAAUUCACGGUGUAGCAGUGAAAUGCGUAGAUAUCGUGAGGAAUACCAGAGGCGAAGGCGGCUACCUGGACAAUUGCUGACGCUCAGGCACGAAAGCGUGGGGAGCAAAAGGG